GAGGGUGUAGCUCAGUGGUAGAGUGCACGCUUAGCAUGCAUGAGGUCCUGGGUUCAACCCCCAGUACCUCCU
rnacentral:tRNA from 1 species